rnacentral:rRNA from 1 species
CGAGACCUUAACCUGCUAAAUAGCCAGGCUAGCUUUGGCUGGUCGCUGGCUUCUUAGAGGGACUAUCGGCUCAAGCCGAUGGAAGUUUGAGGCAAUAACAGGUUAACCUAUCACAGGCCUGUCAUAGUGGGCCUCACAAAAGAUAACCGCUAGUCUCACGUCUUAACCUUCUUUGGGGAAGUCCCCUUCUGUCGGGAGAAGGCAAGUAUAUUCACUUGUGGCGUAGGCAACACCACCUUGUACAGG